rnacentral:rRNA from 1 species
UACGUAGGGUCCGAGCGUUGUCCGGAUUUAUUGGGCGUAAAGCGCGUGUAGGCGGCUUAGCAAGUCGGGCGUGAAAGCCCUCGGCUCAACCGAGGAAGUGCACCCGAAACUGCUGAGCUUGAGUGCCGGAGAGGAUGGCGGAAUUCCCCAAGUAGAGGUGAAAUUCGUAGAUAUGGGGAGGAACACCGGUGGCGAAGGCGGCCAUCUGGACGGUAACUGACGCUGAGACGCGAAAGCGUGGGGAGCAAACAGG